GAAACAACCCAGACCGCCAGCUAAGGUCCCAAAGUCAUGGUUAAGUGGGAAACGAUGUGGGAAGGCCCAGACAGCCAGGAUGUUGGCUUAGAAGCAGCCAUCAUUUAAAGAAAGCGUAAUAGCUCACUGGUCGAGUCGGCCUGCGCGGAAGAUGUAACGGGGCUAAACCAUGCACCGAAGCUGCGGCAGCGACACUCAGGUGUUGUUGGGUAGGGGAGCGUUCUGUAAGCCUGCGAAGGUGGCCUGUGAGGGUUGCUGGAGGUAUCAGAAGUGCGAAUGCUGACAUAAGUAACGAUAAAGCGGGUGAAAAGCCCGCUCGCCGGAAGACCAAGGGUUCCUGUCCAACGUUAAUCGGGGCAGGGUGAGUCGACCCCUAAGGCGAGGCCGAAAGGCGUAGUCGAUGGGAAACGGGUUAAUAUUCCCGUACUUGGUGUUACUGCGAAGGGGGGACGGAGAAGGCUAUGUUGGCCGGGCGACGGUUGUCCCGGUUUAAGCGUGUAGGUGUGUGUUCCAGGUAAAUCCGGUUCACUUUAACACUGAGGCGUGAUGACGAGGCACUACGGUGCUGAAGCAACAAAUGCCCUGCUUCCAGGAAAAGCCUCUAAGCAUCAGGUAACAUCAAAUCGUACCCCAAACCGACACAGGUGGUCAGGUAGAGAAUACCAAGGCGCUUGAGAGAACUCGGGUGAAGGAACUAGGCAAAAUGGUGCCGUAACUUCGGGAGAAGGCACGCUGACACGUAGGUGAAGUGAUUUACUCAUGGAGCUGAAGUCAGUCGAAGAUACCAGCUGGCUGCAACUGUUUAUUAAAAACACAGCACUGUGCAAACACGAAAGUGGACGUAUACGGUGUGACGCCUGCCCGGUGCCGGAAGGUUAAUUGAUGGGGUCAGCGCAAGCGAAGCUCCUGAUCGAAGCCCCGGUAAACGGCGGCCGUAACUAUAACGGUCCUAAGGUAGCGAAAUUCCUUGUCGGGUAAGUUCCGACCUGCACGAAUGGCGUAAUGAUGGCCAGGCUGUCUCCACCCGAGACUCAGUGAAAUUGAACUCGCUGUGAAGAUGCAGUGUACCCGCGGCAAGACGGAAAGACCCCGUGAACCUUUACUAUAGCUUGACACUGAACAUUGAGCCUUGAUGUGUAGGAUAGGUGGGAGGCUUUGAAGUGUGGACGCCAGUCUGCAUGGAGCCGGCCUUGAAAUACCACCCUUUAAUGUUUGAUGUUCUAACGUGGACCCGUGAUCCGGGUUGCGGACAGUGUCUGGUGGGUAGUUUGACUGGGGCGGUCUCCUCCUAAAGAGUAACGGAGGAGCACGAAGGUUGGCUAAUCCUGGUCGGACAUCAGGAGGUUAGUGCAAUGGCAUAAGCCAGCUUGACUGCGAGCGUGACGGCGCGAGCAGGUGCGAAAGCAGGUCAUAGUGAUCCGGUGGUUCUGAAUGGAAGGGCCAUCGCUCAACGGAUAAAAGGUACUCCGGGGAUAACAGGCUGAUACCGCCCAAGAGUUCAUAUCGACGGCGGUGUUUGGCACCUCGAUGUCGGCUCAUCACAUCCUGGGGCUGAAGUAGGUCCCAAGGGUAUGGCUGUUCGCCAUUUAAAGUGGUACGCGAGCUGGGUUUAGAACGUCGUGAGACAGUUCGGUCCCUAUCUGCCGUGGGCGCUGGAGAACUGAGGGGGGCUGCUCCUAGUACGAGAGGACCGGAGUGGACGCAUCACUGGUGUUCGGGUUGUCAUGCCAAUGGCACUGCCCGGUAGCUAAAUGCGGAAGAGAUAAGUGCUGAAAGCAUCUAAGCACGAAACUUGCCCCGAGAUGAGUUCUCCCUGAGACUUUAGGUCUCCUGAAGGAACGUUGAAGACGACGACGUUGAUAGGCCGGGUGUGUAAGCGCAGCGAUGCGUUGAGCUAACCGGUACUAAUGAACCGUGAGGCUUAACCUUACA
rnacentral:rRNA from 1 species